CGGCAGGAGCGGGCCCCGGCUGAGGCGGCAGGAGCGGGCCCCGGCUGAGGCGACAGGAGCGGGUGGCGGCUGAGGCGGCAGGAGCGGGCCCCGGCUGAGGCGGUAGGAGCGGGCCCCGGCUGAGGCGGGCGUUGGGCGGGCGCUGCCCUCAGCCACGCGCGGGGCGGGGCCGGCGCCAGGCGCGGCGUGUGCGGAGCUGAGGGCACCGACAGCUCGACCCGGAGGCAGCGCGGGCCGCAGGCAGUGCUACGGGAGGCGACUCCAAGUCUACUUCUGAUGCCUCAGAGUAACAACAGAGAUAUCGGUGCUGUGUUCAGUGUAUUCUUCAAGAAUCAAUGGGAAUCAAAGUGAGAAUUCCACCAUGA